GGAUUAGAUACCCUGGUAGUCCAUGCCGUAAACGAUGUCAACUAGCUGUUAGAUAUAUAUUUAGUGGCGUAGCUAACGCGUUAAGUUGACCGCCUGGGAAGUACGGCCGCAAGGUUAAAACUCAAAUGAAUUGACGGGGACCCGCACAAGCGGUGGAGCAUGUGGUUUAAUUCGAUGCAACGCGAAGAACCUUACCUACCCUUGACAUCUUCGGAAAGUUUUGUAAUGAAACUGUGCCUUCGGGAACCGAAUGACAGGUGUUGCAUGGCUGUCGUCAGCUCGUGCCG
rnacentral:rRNA from 1 species